ensembl:lncRNA
ACCUCAGCUUUCUCUGUAUCUGUCAUAGCCAGUUCUCCCUUGUCAUCUACCAAAGGAAGUUCACCCUCUGCGGCCUGCCUCUUCUGGCCAAUGUAGCUAUAGAAUCCCUUCUUGUUGUUUUUAACAUUCCUUGCCAAGUUCAGUUCCAUCUGCGCCUUGGCUUUCCUAAUCCCCUCUCCUCACACUUCCUAGACACACCAACUGUGCAUCUGGUGUGGGUACCAGAGCCAAGGCUGUUGUUGCGCACACCACUGAAGGAGAUAAUGGAGAUGCCCAGCAGGGUCAGUGAUCUGUCAAGCCAUUGCCUGAUCUCAGUUACAGCUAAAGCCCACAGAGGAAGACAACCCACUCACUGUGUUUAAUUGCAGAAGGACAUUAACUGCAGAGCUAUGGAGCCAAAUAUUUGGCUGUUACAUACAACCCUUCCACAUGUCAGGGAAAAAGGCCAGCAGCUCUGAAUGCUAAUGCCUCCCAGCAGUGAAGAGUUACUCUUUUCCUCAGACAUUUCCUUGCUAAUGCCCUAUGAACUGUUUUCACACCACAAUAAGGUACAGUUCACCUGUCAAAGGUGAUACUCCGUUCCAAGACUUAGUUAAAGACAUCCAACAAAUAUUUUAUUCAAUGAUUUCCCUAAGCUCCCAGCAAAUGGUUAAUCAUUCAUUUAUCAAAGGUUGCAUUCCUCAAGUGUUAAGGGGCUGGUAGAAGUCUGCUAUAAACCUUUAUAAUGAGCUUCUAUACCAAGUAUCUGUCAGUCUCACUUGCACAUGUGUGUGGAUCAGACCCAGACUGCUGCAGAGUGCCCACGUCUGUCUCUUGGAAUAGAUCACACUGGUAUUUAUUAAUCCACUUUGUUCAGCUCUGCCACUGAGGUCAGCACUGCAGCACUGGUUGUACGCGCUCAGUUCUUCCACUUCUUAUUGAGUGAUGAUUACAUCUGUGCAGCAGGGACUGUAUUCUGCAGAUAAAUAUCACAAGAGGCAGCAUUCAUAUUGUGCUGUAAUUAAAGUGAAUGUUUCAACAAUGCCUGCCCCCAGGCUGAUAAUAAUGGCCCUGGAAACAGGAGGACAAAGGACGAAGAAAGGAGAAAGAAGAUAUCUGGCACAGAUAGGAACCAUAUUUAUAUUGGCAGCAAAGAAUUGAUACCCAAGUAUAAUUUGGAAACCAUGCCACUAAGCAGGAAAAAGGUAACAGUGAGAUUUUCCUUUAUGAAUGAAACUUAACGUCCUCAUCAGCUUUCACCAGUUUGACGAUAUGUGGUUCAACUUUAUUGCAAAAUAAGAGGGAACAAGCUACUGUUUUUAAUACAAUAUGUUGACAUGCACAAAUCCCAGACCCAUGACAAGAAUUAUCCCUGGUUCUUCACUCCAUUACAGAAAUACAUGCUAAUAAGGAAGAGAUGGAACUGCUUUGCUAUUGCUCAGCUAAGCAGCUGUACAGGCAAAAGUGAGAACUAUAAGCCAUGAAAUAGAUGAUACAUCACCAGGAAAACAAAUUUCCUAUCCUUACCAUAAAACAGAGAAAGGUGAAAUAAAAGAACUCACUGUUUUAACA